GAAUUUUGGACACUGGGCGAAAGCCUGAUCCAGCAAUGCCGCGUGCAGGAUGAAGGCCUUCGGGCUGUAAACUGCUUUUGUACGGACCGAAAAGCUUUGGGCUAAUACCCUGGAGUCAUGACGGUACCGUAAGAAUCAGCACCGGCUAACGACGUGCCAGCGGCCGCGGUCAUACGUAGGGUGCAAGCGUUAAUCGGAAGUCCUGGGCGUAACGCGUGCGCGGGCGGUUUUGUAAGACAGAGGUGAAAUCCCCGGGCUCAACCUGGGAACUGCCUUUGUGACUGCAAGGCUAGAGUACGGCAGAGGGGGGUGGAAUUCCGCGUGUAGCAGUGAAAUGCGUAGAUAUGCGGAGGAACACCGAUGGCGAAGGCAACCCCCUGGGCCUGUACUGACGCUCAUGCACGAAAGCGUGGGGAGCAAACAG
rnacentral:rRNA from 1 species